rnacentral:rRNA from 1 species
GGAUCUUCCAGAGAACGGGGUGCAGCAGGCGCGAAAACUUUACAAUGCGAGAAGUCGUGAUAAGGGAACCCCGAGUGCCCGUAAAUUCGGGCUGUCCGCCAGUGCAAAAACUGGUGAAGAAAGAGCCGGGCAAGACCGGUGCCAGCCGCCGCGGUAAUACCGGCGGCUCGAGUGGUGGCCACUAUUACUGGGCUUAAAGCGUCCGUAGCUUGGUUGUUAAGUCUCCUGGGAAAUCCAUCGGCUCAACCGAUGGGCGUUCAGGAGAUACUGGCAACCUAGGGACCGGGAGAGGUGAGAGGUACUCCAGGGGUAGGAGUGAAAUCCUGUAAUCCUUGGGGGACCACCUGUGGCGAAGGCGUCUCACUAGAACGGCUCCGACAGUGAGGGACGAAAGCUGGGGGAGCAAACCGGAUUAGAUACCCGGGUAGUCCCAGCUGUAAACGAUGCGCGUUAGGUGUAUCGGUGACCACGAGUCACCGAGGUGCCGAAGGGAAACCGUGAAACGUGCCGCCUGGGAAGUACGGUC